GGCAUUAUGGCCCAGUUGGUAGAGUGCUUGUGUAUUUCUAGCCAUUUUGGUGGGUGCCCGAGUUCAAUACUGGCUGGUGCCG